rnacentral:rRNA from 1 species
AGGGAGGUCCGUUUGGGUGUCUGUCACAUCGAAGACGACAAACAGCGCAGCGUCACCUUCUCCAAACGACGUGCUGGUUUGUUUAAAGGUGCCAGUAACCUCUCCGCCCUCACUGGCGCGAAGGUUGCUGUUGUCCUGGAGAGUGAAUCAGGAAAGAUGCAUGCCUUUGGGACGCCAUCGGUGAAACCUAUUAUUGAUGCUUUCCUGUCAAGAGAUCCACUUAUGGAGCCACUCGCCGACAAUGCGGGAAAAGCUAGGGUUGCAUCGCUGCAAAGCAAGGUGGCUAGGUUGGACAUGGAGAACGCAAUGCUAGAGAAGAGAGCAAACCUCUCCCUCCAACAUAUCAAGAAGAUACAAGCUGAAAACCCAGGGAUGGCGGCAAAUAAUAUUUUCUCCAAGGAAAAAGAUCUUUGUCUAGAAGAUCUCAACAGGCUCUUCAAUGACCUAUUGCGAGUCAACGAGCAUAUUAGACACCGCAUGCCUCCGCUACAUCAUGGCCAUGCACCAAGGAUUGGUGGUCCAAAUGUGCAACAAAACCAGUUGUUGCCAAGAGGUCCAUCACAUGAUCACUCAAAGACUCAUCGGGCAUCACUACAAUCAACGUCAUCUCACCAUAUUCCACCUCAAGUGUUGCCUCCAGUUCCACUGCCACCAACACCACAACACACUAUGGAACCAUCUUUACAUAUGCAAGUACCACAAAUGUUUCAGUCCACACCACCACCUUCGAAUCCCCACUUGGCAUCCCUCCUACAACCGGAUCUUGACCAGGUACAUGGUUUACCUCCACGACCUCAGCCACAACUUGAAGAAUAUGCAAAUCCUUACAAGACCAUAGAGCCAUCACAGAACAAGACAAUCCCUAACUCCGGUGGAAAUGAUAUCGGCGUCCGCGAAUCACUUGGCCAUGAUAACUCGCCUUAUGCUCCUUUGGACCAGGCGCACCACCAUGAAAUCCUAGGGAUGUAUUCUUACAUGGGGUAUAAUGAUAAUGAUGUAGGCCAAUAUAACUUGAGAUGUGACGAGUGGGUCAAUGCACCACCAGAGUCUUCUGGUGGGAAUGAUGGUGAUACU